GGAAAGGACAAAAAGAAAAAAAAAAAAAAAAAAAAAAAAAAAGAGGUAUAUUGCCCCAUCCCCUCCUCCCAGUAGGCUCAUUUCAAAGCUCUGAAACUCUAUGGUGCAUAUACUACUGAAGAAUUAACAAAGUUUAAGUUUUUAUUAGGUAUAAAAUAAGCUACAAAGAUAUAUUGUACAACAUGGGGAAUGCAGUAAAUAUUUUAUAAUAACUGUAAAUGGACUAUAACCUUUAAAAUUGUGAAUCACCAAAAAUGAAUAAAUAAAUAAAAAGAAUUCACAAAGUUCUAAUCUUUAUCAAACCUCAUCUACUUUUCUAUUUGCCAUUCUGCUUUUCCUCUUAUCCCUUUUUAUUUUUCUAAUGAAUGACUUGAUUUUUGUUUCCCACCUCUUCAUUUCACUUUACUGGUUCUGUGAUGAUGCUGGAGGCUGCCAGGGCCUCACACAGAAUGCAGCUGGUAAUAUGUAUGAUAAAGUCACCUUUGAGAAAGUUUACUUGCUUUUGGAGAUUCCAUUGUUCCCUGUGUGUGGCAAGCUGCAGACCUGGUGACUUCUAAGAACUUUAUGGUGGGGUUUUGAAGAGGAGAUAUCAGCUCAGUCUAUCAGUUUGAGAAGGAUCUACAUAGACAAAGAAAGCCUGCAAGCAAUAUAUCAGCCAGCUCCAAUGGUGUGCUGAUUUAACAACCAGCACUCUGAAAAAUUCCUGGAUAUCAGAGAUACCUACCAGAGAACACCUGGAGGACAGCUUGAAUUGGCCAUUAGUACCAGCAUGUACCCUUUGAGACCCGCUGACUUCUUGGUAUCUCUCAGGUGUUCUG